UACGGAGGGGGCUAGCGUUGUUCGGAAUUACUGGGCGUAAAGCGCACGUAGGCGGCUUGGUAAGUUAGAGGUGAAAGCCUGGAGCUCAACUCCAGAAUUGCCUUUAAGACUGCCGAGCUAGCAGGUGAGAGAGGUGAGUGGAACUCCGAGUGUAGAGGUGAAAUUCGUAGAUAUUCGGAAGAACACCAGUGGCGAAGGCGGCUCACUGGCCUGGUAUUGACGCUGAGGUGCGAAAGCGUGGGGAGCAAACAGG
rnacentral:rRNA from 1 species